CAGAUCCGGCCCGCCCAGACCCGAGCGCCGCCGCCGCCACCACCAACGCCCGACCCCGAGCUCCUCCUCCCCGGCCUUGAUCGCGCGUCGCCCGCUCCCCGGCCUCCCUCGCGUGUCGUCCGGCGACCGGCUCUGCCACCGGCGACCACCCAGGUCACGUCGCCGCUCCGCUGCCUUCUCUCGUUCCUCUCUAUCUAAUCUCCUUGUCUCUCCUCUCCAGGAGCUCAGCACCAUGGAUGCCCAGUCCUCAAGCUCACCUUGGAGGUUCGAACGCCGCCACGGAACCUUCACCGAUCCGAUCUGGCGCCUCCCUCCUGGAACCGCGCGCCUUCCACCUCCUCUACCCGAUCCGGCGCCGCCCAACCUGCCAUGACCUCUACCUUGGCGCGUGCCGAGAUCCUGUGCAUCCUCUCCGUCGACACGUCGUCGUCGCAUGAGGACUUGGAUGCCUGGCUCGCUGACAACCGCCCCAAAAUCCUACAGGAGGUUCAGGUACAACAUCUACUUGAUUAAUUUCUGAAUUCCACUUUUUUUGUGCCUGUAUAUGCAAUUGAGCGAGACUCUUCUUGAUGAUCAUGUGUGCUAAAUCUUACAUGGACAGUUUGAAUGUGUGAUACGUUGUGUGAUCCAGCGACAAAAUUCAGUUAGUGCUGCUAUGGUACAGAGAAGAGAAUGGGGACAAUACAAAGUGAGUGAGAGAGUGUGAGUGAUUAACGAAGGGGUAUAGACUUUGUACUACUACAUACAGUACAUUGUACAUAUAAGUAAGUGGGUAGUGUGUUAUCUUUGUUGUGAAAAGGGAAGAUUUCUUUCCUGACUCAUGUACUGGUGGAUCGAUGAUCUAACGAUCACAUGAAUGAUUAAUGAAGGAUAUGCAUAUUCAGUUCUCCUCUCAAUUUUUAUGGUGCCAAGCUUGGUCUUUAUCCAUCUAACUGACUGAAAGUACCUUCUAAUCACUAUUGAACGCAUCUGUUAGUUAGUUUGACUGUAUACACCACACAAAAAGCAAAAAAAAGAAUUCUAGGGGGGUCCGCAUCCAGUGGCUGCGGACGAGCGGCACCGGGUAAAAUUGGAGUGGAGGUCUGUAACUAACCUCACCUUAAUUAGGGGCUCUGGAUGCAUCAUCGGCAUACUUAAUUUCUUCAGACUUAUCGCCUUUUCCCGAUCUGUUAGUCCAUUCCCAUCCAUAGGAAGAGCUGGUUCAUGCUCCUUUAUCUGCUCACAGUUUCCCUUUUCUUGAGUUGCAAUAUUAAAGGUUGGUUUCAACACUUGAGCCCAAAGUCCUGUGCAGUGUGUCUCCAAACUUGCUAGGAUGUUCAUGGGAGCCUUUGGUGGGCUGAUUGGCCUCCCCGGCCCAUGUCCAUCAGUUGACUCCAUCCGCCUCUGCCCCGAUCACCGGCCUGGACCAGGAGCAUCUUCUAUGUUGCAAGCAAAGAUGAUGAAACACCUGGACCAUCUUGCACGCGCUUGCAGUCUUUGCGACCCAGUGGCAUAGAAAUCAGGGUCCUAUGCAUACUAAAUGCGCAGCUUGGCAUGGCUCUUGGCACACACACAAUCCAUCAGAUGAACAGAGCACUCUUGGAGUACUACUGUAUUUCCUACAACAAUAUUACUUACAUUUAGUUUGGUGUCGUCGUGGAAAUUCAGAUGGGCGUUCCGCAGCGUGUUCAGAAUAAUACUUUGCAAGGGACAACAGCUCGACAUUGAGCAGCAGCAGCAGGUUCUGCAGCUUCGACGACCCUGAUGAGUCCGUGGUCGUGCUCAACUCCUGCCAGGAGGGUGUGGAGGAGUUUCCCCUUGAACUCCAUGACCUGAUUCUAAGGUCAUUGUUCUACUGGCACUCACUUCACCUGAACGGCUGGACCAGAUGAUAGUGGAUAUAUGCAGUGCAGUAUAUUGUUAUAAGGUUGCGUAUUAGCUUCGAGUGAUUUUACUCUUAUUGGUAUCUUGAGAAAGCUUGAAGUAUAUGAUGGUGUCUUGAUAGAUACAAGCAUCCCCCUUCUGCCCUUCUUUUCAUGUGAGUCAUUCUCGUCAAGAGCAUGCUUGUGACACAUGUGAAAGUUUUAAUCAUCUCUAUUGCAGCUAAGUGUCCAAGUGCAAUCUCUAGCCAAGUUCCCUUUGUUGUUGUGUUGUAUUUUGAGGAAAGGCAACCAAGCAGCUCAUGGCAUAUGUGUCGCGCCUGCUCUGCCGCUGCCUUGACCCGCAACCGACGUCGCCAGUUGAGCCGCAAGGGUGCAAAAUCAUCGUGGGGUCCAUUGCAUGGGCGCCGAGUAUGCUUGAUUGCCAUGUCGUAGGCGAUGGUGCUAGAGCUUGGUGGUGUGUUUGUGAUGUUUUUUUCUUCCGUUGCAACGCAUCAAUUGAUUUAUUCAUGCAUCUGUCGAUUUACUCUAAUUUUUUUCAGUCGUCAAACAUUAACUGGAUUGGUUCAUGGAUAUGCAGUGUGACAAGUCAUGUGAGAUGAAGGUGGUGAACCAUCUCAAUGUGAAGCCAAGUAUGUGGUGGAUUUGCCAUGGAUGAUGGAAGACUGGUCAGGAGUAAAAGUUUGAGCUGUCAAAUUUUGUGUGACCAAGGUCCUGGAUGGUCAAACCUAAAAAGUUCAGUGAAGAUUCAGAUUACAUAUGGAUUCCUUUUUGUUGCCUACAAUGCUAUAAUCACGCUAACUAUGCGCAUGGUGUGUACCAGAGAUGAUUCAUAAAAUUUCUUGAUGAUGGCAGCUGGAUGUCAAGGAGGGCGAAGCCCGUUGUGCCAAAACUAACACAUUAGAAUAUUUCAAUUUGCUGCUACCAUAUUUCAAAGCAAAAACACGAUGAUGCAAAGGAAGCAUAUUAUCUAGCCAUGUGUAAUCUGAAUUUGUUGCUAUGUAUAAACUAUGACAAGAGUAGGCUCAUAUAGGUGUGUAUCCAUUUUUGCCUUCUACUAAUCUAUGACAAAGGGGGUGUGCUGGACUAAGUGGCCGUUGCUAUUGAAGCAAAGAAGUGGAACUCGCAAUUUUUCAAUCAAUGGAGGUUAUCUUUCAUAUGGAUUUUAUUAUUA